rnacentral:sRNA from 1 species
UUCAGUUUGCAUUUUGAUGUUUUUUGUAAGGAUGUAGUGUGUUUAAACUUUAUUAACUAAUGUUCAAAACUGCGAUGUGUGUGUAGAAUAUUACGUAUGCAUGUUCAUGUCUAAAGAAUGGCUGUUGAUGAUAAAAAUCAGCUUUCAUUUUUC